GACGAACGCUGGCGGCGUGCCUAAUACAUGCAAGUCGAACGCAGUGGGGACGGGUGAGUAACACGUGGGUAACCUCCCAUCAGAGGGGAUAACACGUGGACACAGGUGCUAAACCGCUACUGAUGGAUGGACCCGCGGUGCAUUAGCUAGUUGGUGGGGUAACGGCUCACCAAGGCCACGAUGCAUAGCCGGCCGGAGAGGGUGACCGGCCACACUGGGACUGAGACACGGUCCAGACUCCUACGGGAGGCAGCAGUAGGGAAUCUUCGACAAUGGGCGAAAGCCUGACGGAGCAACGCCGCGUGAGUGAAGAAGGUUUUCGGAUCGUAAAGCUCUGUUGUUGGAGAAGCGGUAUCUAACCAGAAAGCCACGGCUAACUACGUGCCAGCAUCCGCGGUAAUAC
rnacentral:rRNA from 1 species